GGGGGGUUGGAAUAGGUUUGGGUCUUGUCAUUGUACUGAUCCUGCAGCCUCUGCAAGAGCAGGGCUGCUGAUAUUUGGGAGAAAAAGACCUUAAGAAAUCAUAUGAAUUCGUAAUAAACAUUACAGCUGUUUGCUGCUCCAGACAUUAGAAAGCGGCAGAUCUUUCAAAGCAGAGGAAGACGACCCCUCUGGAUCAAGGACAGGAUGCUAUAAAGGAGGGUCACGGGCCUACGAAAAAUCCUAUAAAGAAGGAAGAUCUUAAAAGUAGAAUCCCAUUCGCAGCAGAAGGUCCCAGCUGUUUCUGCAUCCUAUUUAAUUGGCGUCCUGAAAAUUUGACCACAAUUACAAUUUCCCCAAGGAUAGGUAUAUAAUUCAUUUUCAUGCAGUCCCAGAAUUAUUCUCUUAUUCUGCUUAAUCCCACGGGGGAGCUGCAGGGGAAACAGUGAUUGUAUCUGUGCGGAGAUAGAACGUGGUCACUGAUUUGAUACAGAGAGACAUUGAGAAAUUUUCUGUCGUACAAAACUCAAUUUCUUUUCAUUCAGCUUCUUUUUUUUCUAAAAAGGUAUCAUCCUUUUGGAUUGACGGAACCAUGAAGUAUCAAGGAAAUCUAUAACGGAUCAGGCCUCCGAUCCUAUAGGGAAUUUGGAAUACACUGCGAAUCCCAGCAUCUCAAAUGUGAUUUUUGGCUGAAACCUAUACGUUUUAUUUCUCUCCCUUAUGAGAUCAGGAUAUUCUGUAGAAUUUCCAAAAUAAAAUAAAAAGAGAGGAAAAUUCCAUCAUCUUGUCAUCUGGAUUUAGUGGAUGUAAAAAUAUAUUUGCUCACUACCAAUUCCUACAUGUUGAGCAAAUUAUUAUUUUUUUAAAUGUUUUUUUAUUGAAAUCUGAGCAAACGAUUACGAUUUUUUUUUUCUCCCACCAAACCAUUGAUAAGAAGAAGGUAAUCCAGACCUGCAAAGUGAAAUUGUAUUGAGGCAAAUUGAUCCUUACACUUUUUUUGUUGUUCCUUUGAAGCCUCGUAAAAAGACAUGCUCGUUAAUAAACUUACAAUUCGCACAAAGAAACAGAAAAACACAGCGAUAUCAUUCUUUUAAUUCUCUGCUAUUUUCUGAUAGUUGUGUCUGGUUACUCUUAAUUUCCUCUUCAAUUAGAGGAUUUGUGUCUUCAUGAAUAAAUUGUCUUUUCCUCUGGUUGGAUAUUUAUAGUACCCAUAAACAAACAACGGAUUAGAGAGACGCACUAAGAAAGCAGAAAAUUCAAGACAGAAAGUUGGAGGUAUAAGUCUCUACAAGCCAAUAAAUAUUCCGUGAAAUUAUAGAUGCUUUGGAGACCUUUGAAAUGUUUAUUUUUUUUGGUUUAUUACUGUAAUAAUCAGAGGUCUUCAGAUUGUUAUAUGCAUGCUGUUAUUUAUUUUAUUUUUUUCAUUCAGUAACAUUAGUGCUAUACAAUGGCUAAACAAGUAAUUCAUGCAAAAAUAAAAAUAAAUAGCAGGCAGAUUUGAAGAUACGUCUCCAAUAGGAAUGUGGGGUAACGAUACAUGUGCAGUGUAGUCACAGGGAAGAUGGAUGUAAAGGAAGAGGGAAGCCUUAUCUAUUUAUAUACCUCGCUUAUAUAAAUGAUGUGACAUUUGCAGGACAGGUGCUAUAGAGUAAGAAGGUGUAAUGAAGUUAAAAUAAACAGUGGGAUGAUUAGUUGCACAAUCUGAUCGUUAUACUGCAAUUAUACAUAUAUCUGACUUUUUCUGUAGAGCUGUUACAUGAAUGUGCAAUGAAUUCACAAGACCCAGUGUUAGAUAUCAGGAUACAACAUGAUAAAGAAUAGGAUAUAAGACCUUGUUUGCGGAUGUGCCACUGUGUCUUCCACAUUAAAUAUUCUAGGUAGGGGAGUUGUCCUAAUUGCAAAGUCAUGUUUUAGUGUAUUUGAUGGAAAGGCGUGCAUGCAGAGCUUAAGGAUAUGCCUACUUGAGUACGGGUGUAAGAAACUAUCAGGUUCUAAAAAUUAAGACACAUAACUAAUGUCCUAUAUGCACAUUUUUUUUAUUUUUAUUCCGACUCACACGGAUGAGAUCCAGAGGAAUUGCAAGCUAAACCUUACACAAAUAGCUAAUGCUGGCUUAUGGAGCAUGUUAACUAUCCCAUUUGGUAUUAUUACAUGAUAAAAAAAAAAAGGCUACAUGUACAUGCGGCUUGGUAUUCUGUACACAGGACAGUAUAUGCUGUAUACAUGAUAGCAUACCUAACAGGGCCAGAGUAGAGGUGUGCCAAUGUAGCAUGUGCAUCACAAUGACACAGUUUGCCCAGAAAGUGGACAUGCUAGCGUAGUACGCAUGUUCAUUGAGUGACAACCAGAUCCUGCAAGUCUGCCAACCAAAGCUACCCAUACAGUGAGUGCUGGGACAUGGCACAAAUACAGCCUAUAUGAAAUGGACUGGAUAGCCAGAAGCUGUUCCAUGCAAGACAGCUAGGGUCCCUGGAAAAGUCCAAUUUAAAUAAAAUUUAGAUUUGUAUUAACUGUGAUCCGAUGUAUAUAUUGCUUUCUCACUGGGCAAAGCUAUAACUGGGAAUAAAACAGGGACACUGAGGUUCUGCAUCCCCAAGCUACAUACAUUUCUGAUAUCAGAUGGUGUGCAUGCAAACAGAAUCAGCACGUUAACCUUGUAAACUCACGCAGCUGCCGUAUCCCAGUGGGAAGUGGGUAGGAUGGGGUGUGGAGGCAGAGGCCAGACACAAUUCUCAACACUGACAAAGCAUGGAGAGAAACUGAGGGUGACAAGCAUAUUUACAUUCUGAUGACAUUUGGAGGAUUUAUUCUGCCUUCACCAAAAUACCUAUAGAUUCUUUGCUACUAUCCAUCGACUAUGCAUUUGACCUUAUAUUAUAAAAUUGCUACAUUUAAAUUUUUUUCUGAAACCUGCUAGAAGCAUUGUAAAAGAAAGGGUACAUUGUAAUCUCUAAUACAUUAUAUCGCCUUACCUCUCAUUUUCUCAAACUAUUAACUUACAGAAAUUCUAUAAAUGUAUAUAUAAUGAUUUCUUUUUUACCGCUUUCCUUGACUACAAGUUAUAAACAAAAUUGGUUCUACCCGUGCAUAUAUAUAUAAAAUAUUGUAAUAAUAUAUUUCCAAAACAAAUUAUCAAUAUUAAAGGGUUUCAUCAUAUUUCUGAUUCAUCUAUAUAUUCACUUAGCAGUAUUGAUUGUAUGUACCGGUAUAGUAAUUUUUAUUAUCUAUACAUUAUGUCACAAAACGAAUGUCAAUUCCUUCAUUUUAAAUUGGUCCAAUAGUGCUAGAAACACAAUUUAAUUGACAUUCUACUGCGCAUAUACAAAAAAAAAAAAAAAAUCACUUAACUGUUUAGUAGAUAUAUUCCUAAUGAAAACAUGCACGCAUUUAAUUAUGCAUUUUUUAUUGGGAAUAUAUCUAAAAACAGCUUGCAAAAACUGCAGAGCUCUUGUCUGCAGCCUUUGCAAAGCCUUUUAGUCUAACCCCGCCCAGACUUUUUGUGGCUGUCCAAUCACAGCUAUCCCAAUUCAGCUCAAUCAGAAGGCUUUGUAAGGCAGGUGCUCUGGGCAAUUGCAGCCUCUUGAGUUUAAUUUAACUCCACUGAGCUAACCAAACCAUAAAGUAAAAUUACCUGUUUUCUGCUUGAAAGCCAGGGGAUGUCACAAGGUUAAUUGAUAAAAGUGCCAAUUUCUAAAAUCAGCACUUUUGGUAAAAUGAAAAAAAAAGAGGACAACCUCUUCACAUGUAAAGCCCUUCGGCAAGCUGAAGUGCUACAGGGGUCUUUAGUGUCCCUUUAACAAGUAACAGAAUUGGAUAACCAGUGGGAGACAUUAGAUCACAAUUUAAGCAAUCAGAUGUAAACUGCAAUGAGCAUGAAUUACACAGUUUAUCACUACUACAUUUUGGUACUAUGCUGCAUUUAUUAUUAUAAAUAUCACCCAUCACUACCUGAAGAAUCACCCCACGACAUUAUCUGAGAAUAACAAAUAUAACAUAGCAGACACAUCUGCUUGCACCAACAUGUGACGCAAACAACUCAGCACACAGAAAGAAUUCCAUAAAAUGAUGGCGAUAAUGAAACAUUAUAGGCAUUAAACACUGCUAGAGUAACAUAGAAUACUAUAUGAGUGAUAUAGGUAUGUGAUUGAUUAAAAUGUGUUAGCUAGCAUAUUUUCUUUCACUAUGAGGCCUGUGUGUUUGUUUUGAAUAUUUUUAUUGUUGUCAUGUCAUAAUCUCGCGCAUCAAACAUAUUUUCAUUAAAGCGGGUGGUCACUUACGCAGAGGCGCGGGUAUCGGUGUAUGAAAAUAAAUGCGGAUUGUCGCCCGCACAGAGGCGGGUAUAUUGGUUCAUUUAAGCGUGCAUAGAUUUUUCAGAUUUUUCUAUGUCUUGGCAUACAUAACUCUAAAUCAAGCAAACAUAAGACAGUAGUAGUCUGGCUCAGUGUUCCAGUGUUCAUGACAAUAUGAAAGGCAAUAUGUGGUAUGUGUCAGGCUAAUUACUCAGGCGCGGUUACCGAUGCAGAUUUUCAUAUCAUGAACAGAUAAUGUGUAUCGGUCUGCGUGUGAUAAAGGUAUGUUUAGUAACUAAAUCUUAGUCGAUGCGUGUGUGCUGUUGCAUUGAUUAGUCAAACUUAGGUAAGGCAGGUAACGUUAGCGAGCCCAUGGGGAAGUGUAGUGAAGUGUUCAGACCUUGUGUGACAAUAGUAAAUCAUGUCUAUUAGUGCUAUAACUGCGUCUAGUGAGCUGCGGAAGAGGCAUGCAAUAUAACUGAAUUUGUAAAAAAUUAAUAGUGUGAACUUUAAAACUUUUAGCAAUAUAAGAGCCAGGCUGGCCUUAAAGGGAAACUCCAGUGCCAGGAAAACAAUCCGUUUUCCUGGCACUGCAGGUCCCCUCUCCCUCCCACCCCCCAAUCCCCGGUUGCUGAAGUGGUGAAAACCUCCUUCAGUAACUUACCUGAGGCAGCGACGAUGUCCCUCGUCGCUGCUUCCUCCUCCGCCGCCGCUCCUCCUCUGCAUUGCGUCGGCCAGUGGGCUGGGGAUACCUAAUGCGCAUGUGCGGCUCCCCAUAGGAAAGCAUUGAAAAUGGGGAAAUGAGCGACGCUGGAAGUCCUCACAUAGCGUUUCCUGUGCUAGAAACCAGUAAGUGCCCUCUAGUGGCUGUCUAGUAGACAGCCACUAGAGGUGGAGUUAACCCUGCAAUGUAAUUAUUGCAGUUUAUAAAAAACUGCAAUAACUACACUUGCAGGGUUAAGAAUAGUGGGAGUUUGCACCCAGACCACUCCAAUGGGUAGAAGUCGUCUGGGUGCCUGGAGUGUCCCUUUACUAUCAGUUCGGUGAGGGCCUCUCAUGACACAACUGCCGUGCAUUUCCCCGGCCGCCGAGUCUCCAUCUGUCUUCCACGCAACAACCCCCGCCCAUCACCAGAGUCCUCAAUGGCUUUGUGGGCACUCGGGAGCAGAGGCAGUCCAUACGACUCCCACACCUUGAGUACACGGGCCUCCCUCUCCCUGCACCUCCCCAUCACCAUCCAAGACUCGGGGGAGUGCGUGACCUAAUGUCUCUCCCAGUGCCGGCCACAUACUUGGUGCCGGCACGCGCCCCCCCGGCCACCGGAGGUGCCGCGCAGUCCCGCCCCACGGCAUCAGGGACUUGGCACCCCGGGGACCCCACAGACCCAGAGGCCUGCUCACUCACUUUUCCAGCGGGCAGGCGGCCACCGCGGGGAUCCAUCCAGCACUCUGCUGCACCUAAGUCCGCUCGGGCCGUCCAGAUCAGCCCCCCAUGGUUAGUGUUCCUCUCUGCUACUCCUUCUCUGGUGUUACAAGGUUUAUUUAAGAAGUGCAAUAGGGCGCAGCCGCGUCUGGUCUUUAGCCUCUGUAACCUCUGUGGGGGCUCUUGGUUCUUUAAUCCCAAUCAGGGUGUCUAGGCAAUGAACUGCUCCUUUUUCCAGGCAAUGCGCAGUUUGGGAUCUGUAUGUCACUCUACCAGAGCUUUCUUUUUCCCUCCGUGUCUUCUUCUGCUGGCUUGCUGUCUCCUCCACAGCCUUUGCCAGUGUAGGCAGCCAGCGAGCAUUCCGCGCGGGAGCCCUCGUUGCAGUUCGGGUCGCCGCCAUGCGGCCGGGAUAACCCUCGCCGGCUUAAGAGGGGGGGGGCAGGGCUGCGCCCUGGGUCUGGUGUGUACCCCCCAACCUGGAGGCUUCAUCUGUGCGGUAUCUCCCGAUCGGGUGUCUCGGGGGCUGUGUCUCUCUGCGGCUCCUUGCAGCGUGUAGCGGCCGUGGGUGGCCUGGUGUUCUGCCGCGUGUAGGCAGCGUGCGGCAUCUGUUGCCGGCCCGGCUUGCAAUAAGUUUAGUGUCAGCGGCUGUGAUAUGCCGGGGCUGUACCCUGUGUAUGGCUGUCAUGAUGUCCGACUUGUAAGCAGCCGGGGUUGGUUUGGUACGCCUUUUUGCUCGGGUUAGUGCUGGAUCCCAUGUACAUGGCAUCCAGUGGGCCCGGCGGCCCAGCCCCGCCCCAGGCCUGUGUGUUUGAAUAACCUUUAUAAAAGAGCAGUUUUGUAUUGACCUUUUCGUUCUUCUGUAGUGCACAAAAUUAAAGUUCUGGAUUUUGCUGUUUGCAAACUAGGACAUAACAUCCACUGAGUUCUUCCGUCAGAACAUUCGUAGCGACAUUGUUCAAGGUUCUAACAGGUCCUCUUUAUUUGACAGCAAUGUGGUGGGCUCCCAAUUAAAAUGGAAUUGCUGAAUAAAUUGUGAAAUUCUUUUGGUGGAUAUGGUGUAUGUUACUUUGGCUACGGUGUGUGUACUGAAUAGUUUACUUUGUGUUGGAUGUAUGAGGUCUGGAUUAAUUCUGGUUAGGUUUGUAUUUAGUAUUUAUCAUGUUUGGAUAAUUCCAUAAACCAAAAUUAUGAAAAUUUACUGCAGAACUGCAAAUUCAAGUCCAAAAUAGCUGAACUAGAUCUGAGAAUUAUUUAUUUAUUUAUUUUUCCUAUUUAGCUAUUUAGACUUAAAAUAUGAAAGCCGGUAGUAAAUUCACAAUUUGGUGUAUAAUUCAGUUUUGGCUUAGAUGUGUAAGGUUUAGGUUACUAUCCCGAUAUGUGGAUCGUUCUAGGUUUGAUAAGUAUGGUGAAGCUUACUAAGGUUAAAUUGGUAAGAUGGUUAAGUGAGUAUGUUGUGGGCUACUUUGGUUUCUAUGAGAAAAAUGUGGAUUAUUGUGGGUAAAGUGGGUAAUCAGUGGACGUUAGUGUAGGUAUGUUGUUUUUGGUUAGGUGGAUAAGUAGUUGGUAGUUAUUUUGUGUUAGGUAGAUAAUGUGAAGGUUACUGUGGGUUAGGUUGGAGCUGAUAAGGAUUAGAAGUGUAAAAUGUAGGUGGUCGAGACUGGAGAUUAAAUGCGUUCAUUACCAUUAUAUCGUAACUAGUGAUUCGGAGACAGCAGAAAUAGCGAAUGACUGGCUCAUAUUGCAGAAGAUGACUACAUAUUCUAAAGCAGGGGUAGGGCAAACUUUGGCACUCCACAUGUGGUGAACUACAUCUUCUCUGAUGCUUUCCCACCGUUAUGGCUGCAAGAGCAUUAUGGGAGGUGUAGUCCACAACAUCUGGAGUGCCAAAGGUUGUCUACCCUUUUUCUGGAAGACUAUGAAGAAGGAGAACAUAAUAUGUCAUUUUCUCUGUAUUUUUCUUUUUGCUGCUACAACAUUGAUCAGCAUAUUGAUUUGCAAUGACAUCUUUAUAGUUAGUUGCUCGCUAAACACUUAAUCACUGCAUUCGAUUUUUAAUUUGCAACUUCAAACUUUUCCAACAUUUCAAAUGAACAAAGAGGAACACUUUAAUUUUAGGGGUGUGAGUGGGGGUGUGGGCAAGGGGGUGACUUACUAAUAAAAUAGUAAAUCUGUAUUUUAAAAAAGGCUUAAAGAUUCCUGACACUUUAGUGUUAAAAACACUAUUUAUAAUCUGUAAGUAUAGUCAGUGUAUAUACCUGUGUAAAUCCAUGCAGUGUUAAAUAUAAUGUUAGAAGUAGUUAGUGUAAAGGGGGGGAGGAGGUAAUAGAGUUAAAUUAGAAUGUUUUGAGGUAUGUGGUUAUUGGGUUUAGGGUUAAAGUGGGAAUACAUUUAGUAUUGGGGUACAUGGUGUGUAUGAUUUUUAAGAUGAGGAUAACUGGGUGGAUUAAGGUAAAUGAUUUGAUUCAAGUUUAGGCUUUGAUUGCUCAGAUUUGGGACUAAAGAAAGAGUUGGUUUAGGUUUUGACAGGGGCUUAAUGGAAAAGGGGGAGGGUUAAGGGUACAGUCAUGUGGAGUUUGAAGGGUUAAUUUGCAAAGUACUCACCAGCCUAUAACUAACUCCUGCAAGUCACUUUCUGUGUGUGAGGCUGUUAAUGGGCAGGUGGAAAACAAUCCCUUCCACUUCCUGUCCAGCCUCACACACAGACACUGGAGGAGCUGGGACAGCAUUGAGUUAUACAUCCGUCUAUAGCUGUUCCUGCAGUGUUGUUACUGGCAAAGGCUCACUGUACUUCUCUUCCCUUACUCCCACCUGAGCUCCGAGAAGGCACAUUAAAAGUGCUCUAAAUAGGCACCCCCUAUAGGACAGGUGUCUGUGGGCAGGUGCCUACUCUGCUUAAAGGGAUUCUAUGGUGCCAGGAAAACGGCUUUUAUAAGGUGCCUCCCUCCCGCUGCGCUGAAGAUGUUAAAACCUCUUCAGUCACUUACCUGAAACCAGUGCCGAUGUCCAUUGGCGCUGGGUCAGGCUCGUCCCCAUGCCGGCUGGAAAUGGCUGUGUUCGUAUUAGGAUUUCCACUCAGGAAAGCAUUAAUCAAUGCUUUCCUGUGGGGACAAAUCUGACGUUGGAGGUCCUCAUGCAGAGCAUGAUGGCGUCCAGCUUCAGAUAUCGGACCUAAGGUCUGUUUCUCCCAGGAAGCCCUCUAGUGGUUAUCUGGUAGACAGCCACUGAGGACAGACAGAGCUGCAAUUUAAACAUUACAGUUUCUAUGGAAUGUUAUGUCUAACAUUUCAGCACUAAGUGCAAAAGGGACACUGCACCCAGACCACUCCAAUGAGCUGAAGUGGUCUGGGUGCCUACAGUGUUCCUUUAACCUGAAUGCUGUAAAUUCCCAUUUUCAGCUGUAUUUCUUGUGACUCAAACAUGUAAUGUUAAUGACAAUAUUACACAACAGUAUAUAUGAAGACAAAAUCAGGAUAAAUGUAAUAACGGACUAGAUAAGAAAAAUAUGAAAUAUACGUAAGUGUAGUGAGGAACAAGCUGAUAUCCAGGGAUUAAAGAAUGAAUGAACUGAGUAAACUAGUAAAAGGUCAAAGGAAUAUAGAAUAAAGAAUAACCAGGGAUUAGCUAGGUCUGUGCCAAUAGAACAGAAGACAUACAACACACUAUUUACUGUUUACCAUAGGAAACCAAGAAGGGGUACUGAUCUGUCCAUGAUUUGGGAGUUUUCUUUCUGCUGUCCGUCAUAUCUAUGAUAUCAGAGUCUAUGCCGGAGAUUUAAAUGAGAAGUAGGAGAAAGACCUAAACGAUACACUUGCUAGCAAAUCUGCUAAUACAAUGUAUAGAUUACAUUUAAAGGGACACUAUACUCACCAGAACAACUAAAGUAAACAUUGUCUUUUCAGAGAAAAUGCUGGCUCUGCUCCUGAUCUGUCUCCUUGACAGUCUCAGCCAAUCGUAUGGGAAAGCAUUGUGAUUGGCUCAGAGAAUCACUUCUUAUUAAGUCAGCCAAGCAGGCAGAUCAGGGGGGAGGCAGCAGCUGCAGACUUGAAUACAAGUAAGAUUUUACUAUAUUUAGGGAGGCCAAAGGGGGCUAGAUGGUGGUUUUAACACUAUAGGGUCAGGAAUACGUUUGUGUUCCUGAUCCUAUAGUGUUCCUGACAUACGUAGUUUGGGGCAUGCAGAUACCCUUUAAUGGUGAUGAGCACUGCUAUAAUAUAUACAGAAGUAAGGUUAUACUGAAACAGGAAGCAGUUGGACACAUGCAUGAAAACACUGUUGCCAAAAAUUGAAUAAUGUAUAAUAUUUCUAGAACAGUUUGUUUAUUUAAUUUUAAUAUUCUUUAAUAGUCUUUUAAUUUUUUAUAGUGGUCUUUAUAAUUUUUUAAUGUUUUUAAAAAUAAAACUGAUGCUGACAAAUUAACACCGAUAUUAUAUUUACUGCAGGAUCACCAAAUGCCAUGGCCAGUCCUGGUUUUACAAGUACUCACUUGGGUCUGAAUUACUAGGCCGACUCUGUGUGCUUCCACUGUCCCAUACUGCCAACUAACAGAGACCAGAAAGGCCUUGCUCGUACCAUCUUGUACUAAUGGAGACCAAGCUUCCUCUCACCCCGACCAGUCCAUCCUCCCCGGGUCUGUCCCCAGUCCUAGCAGCAGACAAAGUUGAUGGAUUCUCCAGACGUUCCCUCCGUCGCUCCCGACAGCGCAGGUCACACAGUUCUUCUCAAUUCCGCUACCAGAGCAAACAGCAGGAGCUAACCCCUUUGCCCCCUCUGAAAGGUGAGUGCAUUUGUGUCUAUCUCUCUUUUCUACUUAACUCAAAACCCCUUUGACUCCAGUGCAUCCUUUUAUAUCUGUCCUUUUGUCAAUCACAAUUUAUUAGAUCCCUAUUGGCUGGAACAAGCGC